GACGAACGCUGGCGGCGUGCCUAACACAUGCAAGUCGUACGGUAAGGCCCUUUCGUUGGUACACGAGUGGCGGACGGGUGAGUAACACUUGCGUAACCUGCCUACAACUUUGGGAGAACGCUAGGAAACUGGUGCUAAUACUGGUUAUGUGUUCCUGCUUCAUGGAGGGGGUUGGAAAGUUCCGGCGGUUGUGGCUGGACUCACGGCCUAUCAGGCGGUUUGUUGGGUAGUUGGCUACCAAGGCGGCGACGGGUAGCCGGCCUGAGAGGGUGACCGGGCACAUUGGGACUGAGAGACGGCGCAGUCGCCUACGGGAGGCAGCGGUGGGGAAUAUUGCCCAAUGGGCGCGAGCCUGAUGCAGCAGCGCCGCGUGCGGGAUGACGGCCUUCUGGUUGAAAACCGCUUUCAGCAGGGACGGAGCUUUUUGUGACGGUACCUGCAGAAGAAGCACCGGCUAACUACGUG
rnacentral:rRNA from 1 species